UGGGGAAUUUUGGACAAUGGGCGCAAGCCUGAUCCAGCCAUGCCGCGUGAGUGAAGAAGGCCUUCGGGUUGUAAAGCUCUUUCGGCCGGGACGAAAUCGCAUGCGUGAAUAUCGUGUGUGGAUGACGGUACCGGAAUAAGAAGCACCGGCUAACUACGUGCCAGCAGCCGCGGUAAUACGUAGGGUGCGAGCGUUAAUCGGAAUUACUGGGCGUAAAGCGUGCGCAGGCGGUUUCGUAAGCCAGAUGUGAAAUCCCCGGGCUUAACCUGGGAACUGCAUUUGGGACUGCGAGGCUAGAGUACGGCAGAGGGAGGUGGAAUUCCACGUGUAGCAGUGAAAUGCGUAGAUAUGUGGAGGAACACCGAUGGCGAAGGCAGCCUCCUGGGCUAGUACUGACGCUCAUGCACGAAAGCGUGGGGAGCAAACAGG
rnacentral:rRNA from 1 species